UAAAUGCUAAAAUGAAAUAAGAAGAUUAGAGAAGAAAGGCGCCGCUCCGCAGCGCGCGCCUGCCGAUUGCCUCCCGCCGGAGCCGCCGCGCAGGGCGGGGGGCGCGGGGACCCGGCCCGCCGGCGAGCGGGAGUGCCAGGGAAAGGGUCAAGGUGGGCCAAGCAUCUCCCACCGGCGCCGGUGCUGCCUGGCACCGAGCCAGGGCGAGAGGCGGGACGGACCCCCUUCCCAUCUCCGCGGGGUGCCGGGUGCUCCGGUUCUCUGGCUCACCCUGUGUCUGAUGCGACGGCAGCAGCGCUCCACGGAGCUUAUUCCAAGGCGGCGUAAUCUUUCUAAGCAGCAAAGAGGGGCAGGGACGCCGCUGAGCUCCCGGCAGACAGAGCCCUGCGUCGGGAGGUAAUAACUCUUCAGGGACUCGGCGCCGAGCGCUGACAAGCCGCCGGGAGGGCUGUGGAAAUCCUUUCUGCGGAUGAGCCGAGAGGAUUCUCCUGCUAUCCCCCUAAAGCCUGCGUGUCACCUAGUCCAAUAAAAGGCAUUAUCGGGAA